rnacentral:rRNA from 1 species
AUUGAACGCUGGCGGCAUGCCUUACACAUGCAAGUCGAACGGUAACAGGUCUUCGGAUGCUGACGAGUGGCGAACGGGUGAGUAAUACAUCGGAACGUGCCUAGUAGUGGGGGAUAACUACUCGAAAGAGUGGCUAAUACCGCAUGAGAUCUACGGAUGAAAGCAGGGGAUCGCAAGACCUUGUGCUACUAGAGCGGCCGAUGGCAGAUUAGGUAGGUGGUGGGAUAAAAGCUUACCAAGCCGACGAUCUGUAGCUGGUCUGAGAGGACGAUCAGCCACACUGGGACUGGGACACGGCCCAGACUCCUACGGGAGGCAGCAGUGGGGAAUUUUGGACAAUGGGCGAAAGCCUGAUCCAGCAAUGCCGCGUGCAGGAUGAAGGCCUUCGUGUUGUAAACUGCUUUUGUACGGAACGAAAAGCCCCGGGUUAAUACCCUGGGGUCAUGACGGUACCGUAAGAAUAAGCACCGGCUAACUACGUGCCAGCCGCCGCGGUAA